rnacentral:misc_RNA from 1 species
GUUCAUGAACUUUUUGAAUUUUUUUUCAUAAAUCAAAAAAGAUCAUCCCAAUAGUUCAGGACGAUUAUACACGAUUUUACUAAAAUAAUGACAUAAAUCGAUUCGAUUGGGACGAUUUUACACACGCUAGUUAAUAUCUGCCCCACAGGCCACAACUCUGAUCUAGUAGUACGAGUGAAACACAUAAUACGGAGACACUUCACAUUAAGUACUCGAAAAUAAUGCACUGGCAAUACUUUUGCAUCUCUACUGUCUACAAGAUUACCAUUGUGGACAUCAACAAGUAAAACCUCUCAAAGAUUUGUUUACCGGAUGUAACGACGUGGAUGCCCGGACUUAGCCUGUUCAAUGAUCUUUGUACAAUGUUGAACAUCUAAAAUAAACAACAGCAGAGACCGACACUGAUUCUUCAACUUCAUAAACUGCGAGCAACCUUGUCAUACAGAUCGCGAGGCCAAUUCUGAUUCAAAUUGCUUGCCAGGAAGUUUGCAAUCUUGGCUCUUAAAGCACGAAGUGACCCAUCAGUAUCUUUAACGUUGUCCAGACAAUGAAGAGCAACUUUUAGGAGGU